rnacentral:rRNA from 1 species
GACGAACGCUGGCGGCGUGCCUAAUACAUGCAAGUCGAGCGAAGUUUUUCUGGUGCUUGCACCGGAAAAACUUAGCGGCGAACGGGUGAGUAACACGUAAAGAACCUGCCUCAUAGACUGGGACAACUAUUGGAAACGAUAGCUAAUACCGGAUAAUAGCAUUAACUGCAUGGUUGAUGUUUAAAAGUUGGUUUUGCUAACACUAUGAGAUGGCUUUGCGGUGCAUUAGCUAGUUGGUGGGGUAAAGGCCUACCAAGGCGACGAUGCAUAGCCGACCUGAGAGGGUGAUCGGCCACACUGGGACUGAGACGCGGCCCAGACUCCUACGGGAGGCAGCAGUAGGGAAUCUUCCGCAAUGGGCGAAAGCCUGACGGAGCAACGCCGCGUGAGUGAAGAAGGAUUUCGGUUCGUAAAGCUCUGUUGUUAGGGAAGAAUGAUUGUGUAGUAACUAUACACAGUAGAGACGGUACCUAACCAGAAAGCCACGGCUAACUACGUG